CCUACGGGCGGCAGCAGUGAGGAAUAUUGGUCAAUGGGCGGGAGCCUGAACCAGCCAAGUCGCGUGAGGGAAGACGGUCCUAUGGAUUGUAAACCUCUUUAGGCGGGGAGCAAUGCCGGGCACGCGUGCCCGGCGGGAGAGUACCCGCAGAAUAAGCAUCGGCUAACUCCGUCCCAGCAGCCGCGGUAAUCCGGGGGAUGCGAGCGUUAUCCGGAUUUUUUGGGUUAAAAGGGUGGGUAGGAGGAUUUUUAAGUCAGCGUGAAAAUGUCCGGGCCCAACCCGGGCCGGCCGUUGAAACUGGGGAUCUUGAGUGGGCGAGAAGUAUGCGGAAUGCGUGGUGUAGCGGUGAAAUGCAUAGAGAUCACGCAGAACUCCGAUUGCGAAGGCAGCAUACCGGCGCCCGACUGACGCUGAGGCACGAAAGCGUGGGGAUCGAACAGGAUUAGAUACCCCAGUAGUC
rnacentral:rRNA from 1 species